CCUGAGCCGGGGAAGGCAGGGUUUCCUCCGCGCUGCCUCUGGGUGGUAACCUCGCCCCGAACCCCGGCAGCGUUAGAUCCGCGUAACCGGGGACUCGUUCCCGCCGCGAUGCAGUGGGUGUGUCCACACUUCCGACGGCACCUUUAUUUUAAACGCUGUGAUGUUUGAAGGCCUUAUCUUGGGACCACAGAUUGCAUUACUGUCGCUGGGUAUGGCCAACUAAUUCAAUUCUGGAUACUGGGAUUAAGUGGCAGUUACAUAUGACUACUCUGCACUUUCACCAGAGAGAAAAAUAAACCACUACUACCCCCUACCCGGCUCCUAACUGCUUCUCAUUGGAUAAAAAGCUUUUGGGGACCAACUGCAUUCCUUGGCUCAUAGCCCCUUCCAGUGCCUUCAGAGCCAGCAAGGUGGGCGGAGUCCGUCCCUGCUGCCACCUCUAGCUCUGUGCAGCAAGAGCAAGAAAAGUUUCUCUACUUUCGAAGACGCGGGUGAUCCAUUUGCAUCCACCUAGAUAAUCCAGAAUAAUCUCCCCGUUUCUAGGUCCUUAAAUGUAAUCACAUCUGCAUUGUAAUCACAGGCCCUUUUGCCGUGCGAGGUAGCAUCGGGCGCUGAGGAUUAGGGCACAGCCGUCUUCAGAGGUCAUCGUGCUGCGGCCAGAUCUCCACGCACAUUCGUUUGCUGAUCAUUUGUACCCUCGCCUCCUCGCUUUGUGCUGCUAUCACGGAGAUUCUGUCUCCUUUCAUCACUCCCUCCUCCAGGAAUUUCAGUUACUCUCACGCAUUUGACAUCCAUUUAAUGGGGAUGAUUUUUUUUUUAUUGCUGACACACAAUGAAUUGAGCAUUUUAGGUUUUAAUUACAAUGAUCAAUGUGAAGUCAAUAAUCUGCUGUUACUUAUUUCCAUUUAUAUGGUAUAUAAAUUAGUUAUUAGUUCCGUCGUUUUCUUUUUUUAAACAUAUC